CGUAGGAGUAAAGAAUGUGCAUCGACGAAAAGGCCCGAUCGUCUGGUUGGACCAGACAGAACUGACUCUACUAUGCACGUGUUAAUCUCAAAAAGCUACACCUACAAAAUAUCAUCGAUUCGAAAAAAAUGAAAAGAUGAGAUAAUCGAUUAUUUUCGAAAGUGAUACACGAUGCUAACACGAUCGAUGGAACUACUGUUGACUGUAUUUACAGUCAUACCAAAAAAGGCAUACUACUGGAUAAUGAGUUCGAUAAGUAUACCGGUAUGUUUAGUGUCAAGGCAAUACUCUCUGUGGGUGAAGGGUACUUGAAAGAAGAACCAGUGGGAUGCUGUAUAUAAAUGUACUCGACCUUUCUUUAAUGUAUAACCUUCUUUUCAAAACGACAUUAUCAAGAUAAAUAAAAAAUCGAUGAUGUAAAGAACGAAAUUGACACUUACAGCCAGGAAGAGAGCCUUUCUUCACGGUGAUCCUAAACGGUUGAUAAGUGGCGCCUGGUUGCACCUUUCCGUACAUCGUUCGAUCCAUAGCCAUUUUAUUUUUUUUUAUUUUUGUUAUUUAUAUAUAUGUAUAUAUAUAUAUAUUUACUUUUUUACGCGCACAAAAUAUUACAAACGACUUAUUUUAUUCGAAGAAAUGACGGAGCACGGGCACCACCAUGUGUAUACAUACGCACCCACUGACACGCGUGGAAUAAACGCAACACGCGCUACUCGAGUCACGUGGUACUGUUAUGCGAAUCACCGAUUGGCUGACGAAUCAGAGGGAUGGAAGACACAAUCGUUUAACCACGCGCCACCGCGACCACUUGUUGCAGAAUGGCAUCGAAAUAAACUAUAUAUACAUACAUAUAUGUAUAUACAUUUCUGAUAUAUUUAUAAACAAUUAAUUUCUUUUAUAAAAAAAAAAAAAAAAAAAAAAAA